rnacentral:rRNA from 1 species
GACGAACGCUGGCGGCGUGCCUAAUACAUGCAAGUCGAGCGGACGGAUGGGAGCUUGCUCCCAGACCGUCAGCGGCGGACGGGUGAGUAACACGUGGGCAACCUGCCUGUAAGACUGGGAUAACUCCGGGAAACCGGGGCUAAUACCGGAUAACUCUUUCCCUCACAUGAGGGAAAGCUGAAAGAUGGCAUCUCGCUAUCACUUACAGAUGGGCCCGCGGCGCAUUAGCUGGUUGGUGAGGUAACGGCUCACCAAGGCGACGAUGCGUAGCCGACCUGAGAGGGUGAUCGGCCACACUGGGACUGAGACACGGCCCAGACUCCUACGGGAGGCAGCAGUAGGGAAUCUUCCGCAAUGGACGAAAGUCUGACGGAGCAACGCCGCAUGAGUGAUGAAGGUUUUCGGAUCGUAAAACUCUGUUGUCAGGGAAGAACAAGUACCGGAGUAACUGCCGGUACCUUGACGGUACCUGACCAGAAAGCCACGGCUAACUACGUG